AGCGAGACCCUCUAAAAAGAAAAAUAGGAGCGAGACGAGACAAGACAGCGCCCUGCAGCCCUACUGCCUUUUCCACUCCAGCCCCGUGCGGCGCUCCGCUGACCAGACCUCUUACCGGCUCCGUGCCUCCAUCGGCCCAUCCUCUCUCUUCUGAGUCUUCUCCUCCCUGAGUCUGGAUCGCGCGCACGACCGUCUUGUCAUGGCCGGCGACGGCGGAAGCAACCAGGAAGAGGUCCAGAUACAAAUCGCCGUUGCAGGAUCGUCCAAAGCUGCAAGUUCCUCAACCAAUGAAGCACCUGCACAGAGCUCCCCUGUUAAGCCUUGGCAAUGGUGGUUGAUGGUGACACUGAACAUGUUCUUCCUUAUUGCCGGUCAGACAGCAUCAACACUCCUAGGAAGAUUCUAUUACAAUCAAGGUGGAAAUAGCAAGUGGAUGUCCACGUUUGUCCAAACUGCUGGUUUUCCAGUGUUGUUUAUUGCUCAGUUCCUUUUCCGUCCAAAGUCGCCUUCUACACAAACGACCACAAGUAAUCCUGAAGCUUCUGGUUCCAAAAUCACUCUGAUAUACAUUGUCUUGGGGCUCAUCAUUGCUGCAGACGACUUGAUGUAUUCCUACGGUCUAUUGUAUCUCCCCGUCUCAACUUAUUCACUCAUUUGUGCUAGUCAGCUGGCCUUCAAUGCUGUCUUCUCAUAUGUCCUCAAUGCUCAAAAGUUCACCCCUUUGAUCUUCAACUCUGUAGUCCUCCUUACAUUUUCCGCUUCACUCCUUGGAGUUGAUGAAGAUUCUCAGGGCACUAAUGAUAUCUCACAGGGGAAACAUAUAUUGGGUUUUGUGUUGACAUUGGGAGCAUCGGCCACAUACUCACUUAUUCUCUCCCUCAUGCAAGUUACAUUUGAGAAGGUUAUUAAGAGGGAGACCUUCUCAGUUGUGUUGAACAUGCAGAUCUAUACUGCAUUUGUGGCUACACUGGCUUCUCUUGUUGGGUUAUUUGCAAGUGGUGAAUGGAAGACUUUGGAGGGUGAGAUGCACGUAUUCAGCUCAGGGAAGUUGUCCUAUGUAAUGACGCUUCUAUGGACUGCUAUAUCAUGGCAGAUAGCUUCUGUUGGAGUGGUGGGGCUGAUCUUCGUAGUUUCAUCACUAUUUUCAAAUGUGAUAAGCACUCUAGCUCUACCCAUCAUUCCUGUUUUUGCUGUGAUUUUCUUUCACGACAAAAUGGAUGGGAUCAAGAUUAUAGCUAUGAUGAUGGCCAUCUGGGGAUUUAUGUCGUAUGGCUACCAGUUAUAUGUUGAUGAUAAGAAGUCUAGGAAAACUUCAGCCAGUGUGGAGGAGAAUUCCUAGGUGCUCCGGUGCUGCUAAUUAUUCAGCCUUCCCACCCUCCUAAAGCAACUCGUGACCCCUAUUAUAAAUCAGCUUCUGGACAGGAGAUGGAGACAUGGGGUGUUGUAAAAAAGGCAACAAUGCAGGUAUCAAUUCAUUAUCUUGUGAUUUGCCCCUGGCAGGCCACCACUCUAUUUGAACCAGCACCAGAAAUUUCAUUUUCUGAAGCUACAAUUGUAACAACUGCUCAAGACAAGGCUGAGUGUAGGGCAAAUAUUGAGUGGACAACUUCUCUUCAAGUUCAGCAUCAGGCCAUCAGGGGAUCCCUUCUGAUCUGUCAAGUUUCUCACCCUCCAUUAGCUUGAAAGACUCAGAAAUUUCUUAAAGCAAAGCUUUGCUAAAACAAGCACCGAUGGUAGCUCAUGUGCACAACUAGGGAAGCAGCAGGUGGCGAAACACUGCUAGCACUUCUAGUUCAUAAGUUAGCCACAGAACAACUAUACUUCUUACUUCUGGUGACCUCUCUUGAGUAAGCAGAUGACAUCUUGGUUUUAUGCCAGUUGAAGAGGUGAUUUAGAUGGUAAACAACUCAAUUUGGGCGGAAUGGUCAGUAGCAUAGAUGUACCUCAUCUCUCGCAGAGGCACAUUCUUUAUGUACCCAAGGUCAGAUUAGAUGAUGAGGUUAUAUGCAUUCAAUUUCUUAUGACAGUCUUUGCUUGAGAGAAGAUCAAAAGGCAUUCAGGAAGUCGCACCAAAGUUUGAGAAGGUUAUGAGGCUUGCUCGUCGAUACUUGGAUGAUCUGCAUCAUAAAGUGGCACAUGCUGCUCUCUUACCACUUGCUUAGAUCAUACCGUUUUACAAGAAGUCUUUCAAGCAUUAUCUGGGCAAGAUGCCCCCCGAUGUUCCUUUUCGACUAAAUGAUCCAAAGGAAUCAGUGGAGCAGCAAUGCUUAGCAAUUUUGAAACUUUCAGGUCAAAAUUAUUCGAAUGAUUCUCUUUUACCUGCUCUAAUUCGUUCACUAGGUGAGCACAAAAAUGCCAGUUCUUGAGUUUGCAAAUGCACUCUUAGUAAAAUGCAUAGUCAGUUCUGACGGCUAUUCCAGCAGCAGUUUCCUUAAGCCAUGUCCUGGAAGCUAACUCUUUUGUUUAUGAUAGAAACUGCAAGCGAAAAGAGACUGCAUUUAUCGCUUGUCAUAAUUAUGAUCCUGCAUCCACAUUUAGCUUUCUAGUUAGCUUGUCAAUGGAAGAACAAAAGCAACUUAGAUGGGCAAAGAAGCAGUUGAUCCCUAUGACUGAGAACAGCAUGGAGGAGUUUUUGCAGCAAAAGAACUGCAGAUUAAAGGACGUGGCGAGUCAAGUGGACAAAGGUGUUGAGAUGAAUGGUCAUUCGGUGCUGAUCAAGGUUUGUCCGAUCUAUUUGUAUCACCUUAUUGUUUAUCUUUGAUCCCUCCGUUUGUCUGUAGAGGCAAGGGGCAUUAUAUUCCUUCCAUUAGGUUUGUUGGUAAUUGGUAAUGAUGUCACCUUAUAAUUGUUCCUCUUCCUUCGGUUAGAUUUUCGAUGUGAUUGUAUGUGAUGAAUAAUGGUUGCCAUGUUAUCGUGGUUUCAUCUCUGAAAAUCACUACUGUCUACCGAUUUGGCAACAGAACGCCUAUUUCAAAGCUUUCAUAAGGACUCCUGUAACUUUCAGAAGGUAGACAGGUAGGAAAGUUGGAGGGCCUUGGUUCGGAAGUUUAUACAUAGAGAUUUUGUUCAGACGGCAGUCUCACCCCUAUGACAGAUUUUUUUUUGAGCUUACCCUAUGACAGAAUUUACAGUUGACAAGUAUACCCAUGGUACGUUAUGGAGGUUGGUCAGUCAAACCUCAUUUUUCUCGGUUAUUCUGAUAUUCUCCGUAGCAGUAUUUUCUGUUAGAUCAUUUGGGCAUGAGCAAUCAUCACGGAUAUGGUCCUAGUAGUCUCCUAAAGGCUCUUUGUUAGCGUUCAUUCGUUGUGAUUGUGAACGAGCGUUAACGGGGCAUCAUCUGCUUCACUCAUGCCUGGUUUGCGGUUGCUAAAUUCAGUAUGUCAUGGAUAGAUAGAUAGAUAUCCACAAUCCAUUUAUAUUCUGUCUUUCUCUGUUGAAAGAAAUUAUCAAGCUGCAGUAGGGAUAUCCACAAUUCAUUUAUAUUUUAUCUUUCUCUGUUGAAAGAAAUUUCAAGCUGCAGUAGGGAUAUCCACAAUUCAUUUAUAUUUUAUCUUUCUCUGUUGAAAGAAAUUAUCAAGCUGCAGUAGGGAUAUCCACAAUUCAUUUAUAUUUUAUCUUUCUCUGUUGAAAGAAAUUAUCAAGCUGCAGUAGGGUAAAUGUACAGUUUCGGGUUUUCUUUGCUCUUCGCUUAUUUGCUGUUUUUUCUUCCGUUUUGCCUUUCGUUUUGAUUUCAGGGCGAUCUACUUCUAAUACAACAUGGUGCGCACUUCAUGUUUGUGAAAAAAAAAGUGGAUCCAUGCACUGUUUCAUUCUGCUAAACUACUGAAGUAAGACACUACACUUGCGAAUUGAUAUGUCUCUUCAGUUUUGUAGUUACCUAGGAGGCUAUAGGACACAAGUUGAACUCUUUUCUGCAGAUUAUGCCAAAGACGUUGUAAAUGCGGUUUAAUCAGACGGAACUAUUACUAUAAUCAAGUAUUCCUUCUCAUGCUAAA